rfam:Prevotella sp. CAG:474 genomic scaffold, scf20
GCGUAUUCUAAGGGGUGCUUGGGCUCUUGUCCAGGCUGAGAUUAUACCCACUGAACCUGAAACGGGUAAUGCCGACGCAGGGAAGACGUCCCCUUGAUG